rnacentral:rRNA from 1 species
AAUAGAUACCCGGGUAGUCCACGCCCUAAACUAUGUCAACUAGUUGUCGGGGAAGAAAUUCCUUGGUAACGCAGCUAACGCGUGAAGUUGACCGCCUGGGGAGUACGGCCGCAAGGUUAAAACUCAAAGGAAUUGACGGGGACCCGCACAAGCGGUGGAUUAUGUGGAUUAAUUCGAUGCAACGCGAAAAACCUUACCUACCCUUGACAUGUACGGAAUUCCGCAGAGAUGUGGAAGUGCCCGAAAGGGAACCGUAACACAGGUGCUGCAUGGCUGUCGUCAGCUCGUGUCGUGAGAUGUUGGGUUAAGUCCCGCAACGAGCGCAACCCUUGCCAUUAGUUGCUACAUUCAGUUGGGCACUCUAAUGGGACCGCCGGUGACAAACCGGAGGAAGGUGGGGAUGACGUCAAGUCCUCAUGGCCCUUAUGGGUAGGGCUUCACACGUAAUACAAUGGUCGGUACAGAGGGCUGCCAACCCGCAAGGGGAGCUAAUCCCAGAAAGCCGAUCGUAGUCCGGAUUGUAGUCUGCAACUCGACUGCAUGAAGCCGGAAUCG